CGAUUCAAAACAAACUAGUAGGAAAAAUAAUAACCAUACCGGUUUGAACCGGUGCCAAUAAUUUUUUUUUAAAAAAACCCUUUUAUAAACCGUACCCCUUAUUCCUUUCACCUUAAAACUGAUCUCCUCUCUCCUCUACCCCUUCUCUGUUCUCUUCCCUCUCCGCCUCUCAUCCUUCUCUCUCCUCCUCCUCUCCUCCUUCAUUCUCUUUGAUCUCCUUCUCCAUCCUUCAUUCUUUUCGAUCUCCUUCUCUAUCCUUCAUUUUCGUCGUUGUCGCCUUCAUUCUCAUCACCUACUCUCUCUCUAUAUCCGUCAUCUCCUUCAUUCUCAUCGCCAUUAUUCAUCCUUCAUCUCCUUCAAUCUAGUCGCAACAAAACCACCACUAAGACCACCGCCGCCGCCACCACCACCACUAACCACUACCGCAACAACACCACCAACACCAAUAGUACGAUGACAUCACCGACAAUAAUUGGUUUUCUGGGUUUUAUUAUUCGAGGUAUUGUUUAUGAAUCCAUAUAGAAGAAUCAAGAUGUUCAUUUUGGAAAAUUGAUUUAUAUGUUGUAAUUUUUUUUUAUGUUGUAAUUUUUUGGGGUAUUGUACAAUUGUAGUUUAAUGAUAAUUAUAAAUCUGAUUAAAUUUCGGUUGAUUAUGACAGUGAUGUUGCAUUGAAAUAAAUUGUUAGAUUAUAUUUCUACUUCUAGUGAAAAAUUGCAACAAAAAUAAUAAUUUUUUUUUAAAAAAAAGUAACAUGAAAUGGCACUGGUUAACCGGUGCCAAUUUGCUGUAAUUUCAAAAAAAAAUAAAAAAAGUCGGGGAAUAUUAUUACCACCUGUUAACCGAUAGCAAUGUAAUUUAUUCCCACCGGUUAAUCGAUGGCAAUACUUGUUUUCCCCAACGGUUUUGAAAUAGUGGCUUUUAAAGGGAGGAUUACCACCCCCCAAAUUCCCAACGGUUCAACACCGGUGGCAAAGGGGGGUUUUCAACUGGUGGAAAAUUGCCUUUUUCUACUAGUGAUAAGAAGUUUACCAUUUCGGUUGAAUUUAUUGUGCUGGAAAUAGCGGAAGAUGAUAACAUACCUAUAAUUCUAGGGAGCCCUUUCUUAGCUAAUUUGGGAGCUUUGAUAGUUGUGAAAGGAGGUCUAAUUAUUUGGAGAGUUGGUAGCAAUAUGACUAGUUUUGCCCUUAUGCCGAUGCAUGAGUCGUUAUCUCUAGUGAAUGGAAUUAUGUGUGUCAAUUCCCCUUAAUAUAAUGAUGAUAUUUGCAUAGAUGUUUCUUCUACUAACAAUGUUCUUGAGGUUUUUGAUGAUGUGUCUUUAAGUGUUGAAUGCAAGAAAGUUAGUGAAGAAAACAAGGAGCCUUUGAAGCUUGAAGAUGAGGAGGUAAUUGAUAUUCCUCCAUGGUUUUAGCUCUACCCUCAAGAAGACGAGGUUGAUUCCAAGUGUGUUGAUGGUGAGAAGUCAUCCACUAAAAGGAAUAAGAAAGAAAAGAAGAAAAAGAGAGCUUUUAUAAAAAA